AGAAGAAACUAAGAGCCCAACUUGGUCACAGUGAGUGAAGGAACAUGGCUCUGAAUCAUGCCUGUCUGUCUCCCCAGGUCUGUGCUUAAAACCACGAAGUUCAAGAUGGAAACUGAAGGGAAGAGUGUCAAGGGGAUGGGAGAGAGGACUUGUCCAUGACUUUGGCAGCAUAAGGAAAAAAUACCCAGGGACAAGUGGCGACUUUGGAAACUCCAUUCCUCUGCAAAAUGACAUCACGAGGAGAGUGGUGGGGCCUGCGGAUGAAAAGAUCUGGCUUCUCCUCCCAACUCUGCUAUGAGGAAGCGCUGGAUGGCCCUGUCGGCCGCGGUCAUCGCCGCCUCGGCCCGGGAGCUCAGCAUUGCAGCCGCACCGGAGGCCUGAAACCGUCUCCUCCGCUACCGCCGCCGCCGCCGCCGGACCGAGGGAUACGACGGUUCCCGAGACAGCGGAACCUGCGGCCGCAGUCCCAGCACCUCGGGGGAACGUAGACCGCAGGACAGCUCCCAGGGGGACCGGAAGUAGCUGCCCCCGGAGAGCAAUAGCUGACGGACCACGUCCUUUCUUUCUUUUCCCUUAGCAACAGGCCCCGGCGUCGGUUGCUACGCUGGGCUCAGUUGCCUGGGGCUGCUUGGUUUUCAGAUUUGCUUAGGCUCCAUUCAUAAAUACAGAUGGCACACUUCUAGGAUGG
rnacentral:lncRNA from 1 species